rnacentral:rRNA from 1 species
CCUACGGGAGGCAGCAGUGAGGAAUAUUGGACAAUGGGCGCAAGCCUGAUCCAGCCAUGCCGCGUGCAGGAAGAAGCAUCUAUGGUGUGUAAACUGCUUUUGUACAGGAAGAAACACUCCCUCGUGAGGGAGCUUGACGGUACUGUAAGAAUAAGGACCGGCUAACUCCGUGCCAGCAGCCGCGGUAAUACGGAGGGUCCGAGCGUUAUCCGGAAUCAUUGGGUUUAAAGGGUCCGUAGGCGGUUUAAUAAGUCAGUGGUGAAAUCUGGUCGCUCAACGAUCAAACGGCCAUUGAUACUGUUAGACUUGAAUUAUAAGGAAGUAACUAGAAUAUGUAGUGUAGCGGUGAAAUGCUUAGAUAUUACAUGGAAUACCAAUUGCGAAGGCAGGUUACUACUUAUGGAUUGACGCUGAUGGACGAAAGCGUGGGGAGCGAACAGGAUUAGAUACCCUGGUAGUCCACGCCGUAAACGAUGGAUACUAGCUGUUCGGAGCAAUCUGAGUGGCUAAGCGAAAGUGAUAAGUAUCCACCUGGGGAGUACGUUCGCAAGAAUUGAAACUUNAAAUGAAUUGACGG